CUGCAUUCUAUUGGUUAGAAGUCAGUCACAGGUCCUGUCCACGCUCAAGGGGAGGGAUUCCACAGAGAAAGGCAUCACCAAACAUGUGUUGAUUUUGUGGGAAGAGAAACCAGAGGAAUCAUCCUGUUAGAUGCUAAGAGUGUGUUCUACAGGGUGUUGCAGGAAACACAGUAAAAAUGCCAUGGGCCCUCCUGCCCCACCGUAUACCACUCUCUAGGAGAUUCCAGCAUUCAGAACACAGAGAAACACCGAAGAUCUCCCGGGGAGAUGUCUAGAUUAGAUUCGAAGGAAGCGCAGGAUUUACAGGAUAUAGCUACUCCCCCAUAUCAUCUUCAUGGAUCCAGAAGGAAGUUUCAAAGAAAAAGCAGAAUCAUGUGCUCCCACGCUGGAUUUGAAUCAUAGAACCACACAAUUAAGCAGCCUCCUUAUGAAGAGAAUUUCUAAAAACAUUGAGAGAAGAGCUGUUCAUAAUGAAUAAAUUAAUUCCCAACCAUCAGAAUAACUACAGUAAAAACACAACACAAACAAUACAAAGUAGGAAAUUGAUCUUUUCUCCUUUGCUACAUUGUACUGGUGACAGAAACAGAAUAUGGAAAUACACCUGAUGUUGAACCUGAUAAAGAAGAUCCUAACCAGCCCGUUUGCUCCUAUUAUUAAGUGAAAAGGUGGUUUUUAAAUAAUUCAAAAAGAAUUCUUUCAAUUGAAAUAAUUUUGA